rnacentral:rRNA from 1 species
AACGAACGCUGGCGGCAUGCCUAACACAUGCAAGUCGAACGAGACCUUCGGGUCUAGUGGCGCACGGGUGCGUAACGCGUGGGAACCUGCCCUUAGGUUCGGAAUAACUCCCCGAAAGGGGUGCUAAUACCGGAUAAUGUCUUCGGUCCAAAGCUUUAUCGCCUUUGGAUGGGCCCGCGUUGGAUUAGCUAGUUGGUAGGGUAAAAGCCUACCAAGGCGACGAUCCAUAGCUGGUCUGAGAGGAUGAUCAGCCACACUGGGACUGAGACACGGCCCAGACUCCGACGGGAGGCAGCAGUGGGGAAUAUUGGACAAUGGGCGAAAGCCUGAUCCAGCAAUGCCGCGUGAGUGAGGAAGGCCUUAGGGUUGUAAAGCUCUUUUACCCGGGAUGAUAAUGACAGUACCGGGAGAAUAAGCUCCGGCUAACUCCGUG